rnacentral:lncRNA from 1 species
CAUCGUUGCAGGACAUACAGUGACAGUGACCUCAGGGGUCUGGGAAAUGUUCCCUACUGUAUGUUGUACAGCUGGGGGAAAAAAACAACAGGCAUGUAAGAGCACACCGUCAGAAGAACCUCCACCCAAAACUUGCUUCAGAAGUGGCAGUGCUAGCCACUGAGCAAACCUGCCCUUCACCUCAACUGCUGCCAAGACCCUCUUCAGACCGUGGACAACUGACUGCCUGGAGUUGCCUAGACAAACUCCUACUCCACAGGGUCUUCUGAAGCAUGGCAGGCCUACGCCUUCCAGCUGAAGACUUGGAUGUUACCCUAACACCUCUGCUCUCAAUGACCACAGAGGACCCCGGGGUAGCUGUCUGGGCAGCCAGCAAUGCACAAAGUUACUGAAUGCCGUCCUGGAGAGAGCCCUUCGGUAGCACCCUCCGUAUGUUCCCACCAGAUGCUGUGCAAUAAUUGUGGCCACAUACUCUAUCCUGAAUUCAAGAAAUGACCUUUAAAAUUAAAGGAGCUCUCGAGUAUCAAGAAACAAGAAUCUUAGAAGAGAGUUUGAUAGGCCACACUGGGAAACAGGAUGAGCAGGUCCACGAGAGCCUUGUGCUAUGACACUUCAGAGAGGGUCUACUGCAAAACGAGGCCACACCGCUCCUUAUACCUCCAGCGUCAGUACCAGCAGACUUUGCAGAAAGCACCUGUCCUUUACAUUUGUUCUUGCCAUGCUGAGAACUUUGGCUUGCACUUCCUGCCGUCACCCAGACUGUUCCUCUGCCAUGACAUCAUCCAUUACUAAAGGAACCUCAAACAUUGUGCUGCACUUUGUAGAUGAGAAUAAAUGUCUCCUCUAUUGGAGACUGAGAACAGAACCCUGAAAGCAUCUGCCGAUUGCUUUGUCCCUUCCUGACCAGCCAGCAAGUGGCUUUCUUUCCUGGCAUUUUCUGUACAGUGAGUGAAGGCAGGUCCUGACAGCUGUGUCAGACGCACACUGUUUACUGUGCCUGUGUUUACAUCAGCCUUGUCUAUAUUGACAGCAAACAUCAUAGGGAGGGGAAGAAAGCUUG